AGAGGUGAAUGUUGCAGACCUCUUGCUUCUCUAGUUAUACCAACUUUAGUAACGACCACAGGAUAGAAAUACACAGCGGUCUGAGGAGCCAUAAACAAACCUCAACCAAAACGCCACUCUAUAGCCACAAAUAAUGCUCAGAACAGCACCUAACUUCAUCAACAGGACAUAUAGGGUCACAGACAUAGUACUAGACACCAAACAUCUUUUUAACUUUGACUCAUUUCUUUAGCAAAGAGACUAAACACAACUCACCUACUCUCUUCCAGCAGACGCUUGUUUGUCCAUUACGGACUACAGCGGGGUGCCGCAGCUCAAGGAAGAACAUUUAUGAUCAUUUCUUCAUGGAAAUACAAUCAGACCGAGACGCUAAGACAGAAGAACUACCGCGUCUGUAAAAUGAUUAAUAUGAUGAUUAUUACUUCAAGGACAUUAUAAAGAAAUGAUCAUAAAUGUUCUUCCUUGAGCUGCGGCACCCCGCUGUAGUCUGUAAUGGACUGGCCUGAGGUCUCUCUACAAACAAGCGUCUGCUGGAAGAGAGUAGGUGAGUUGUGUUUAGUCUCUUUGCUAAAGAAAUGAGUCAAAGUUAAAAAGAUGUUUGGUGUCUAGUACUAUGUCUGUGACCCUAUAUGUCCUGUUGAUGAAGUUAGGUGCUGAUCUGAGC